rnacentral:misc_RNA from 1 species
UUUCUGUAGGUGAAGCUGCGGAAGGAUCAUUAUCGAAAAGGCAAUAGCCCCCCGUGCAUGCGACCCCUUCCUUGUGGUGCCGGAGCAAUCGAGCGAAAGCGCAUGAGCUUCGGCCCCCAAGAAACAAAACCCCGGCGCAAUUCGCGCCAAGGAAAACUUUAAACUCAAGGGCGUGUUCUCCUCACAUUGCCCCCGUUUGAGGGUGCACAACUGGGUGUUUGCCAGCUCCUUAGUGAAAACACAAAUGACUCGGCAACGGAUAUCUCGGCUCUC